rnacentral:rRNA from 1 species
GGACUACCCGGGUAUCUAAUCCUGUUCGCUCCCCACGCUUUCGCGCCUCAGCGUCAGUAUGAUGCCAGGUGGCUGCCUUCGCCAUUGACGUUCCUUCCGAUCUCUACGCAUUUCACCGCUACACCGGAAAUUCCGCCACCCUCUCAUCUACUCUAGCUACAUAGUUUGCGAUGCGCUUCCUAGGUUGAGCCCAGGGCUUUCACAUCACACUUACAUAACCGCCUACGCGCCCUUUACGCCCAGUAAUUCCGAUUAACGCUUGCACCCUCUGUAUUACCGCGGCUGCUGGCAC